AAGUGAUUAACAAUGGCAGAUUCAUUGAUGGUUUCUCCUCCAUUAAUUCCGAUUACUUUAUGAUUUUCUGCAGAGCGGGGAUGAAUAGUAAAGGCUGAUGAAAUCCACAUGUACUAGCAUUACACUGCUUUUUUUCAUUGCAUACCAAGGUGAAAACUUUUUCCUUGUAAGUGUUGACAAAUACUUAGAAAUUUGGAAGGAUAUGUAAAAUGUAAACCAUAAAGUGCUGGCAGUUUCCUGUCCAGGCCAGGGGUCAUGAAACAUUUAAAUUUCAUGCCAGCGUUGGAGGACUUUCUUAAGGGGUUAUUGUAGAAGUCAUGUCUCUGUGAAUUUACUGUGGAUUUUAACCUCAGAAUGACAAGAUAUGCUCGGUUGAUUGCCCACUACCCCUAUGUAAUCAUUGUGAGCAUCCUUUGUUUGGCCAUUGUUUGCCUGGUGCUGUGUUUGACUGUGGUGGAGAUACCAAACUUCCAGGACCCAAGAGCAGGAUUUGAACCUAGGGGAACUUACAUUGCAAAUAGAAUUGUUGCCUAUAACAAUCUGGUGGAAGAUCGAAAUGGAAAGAUGUCAAUUAAACCAGGACCUAAGUGGGGUCACCAUAGAAAUGAAGCUGAAACCAUACAAUAUGUCACAAACAACCAGACCAGACAGAGAAGCACGAGAUCAGAGAGGAGGCCAGCAGGACAACCAGACAGGCAUGAUAUUGUGGACAGAAGUACACAUCACCCAAAAGAUUCUUUUUUCUGCAAUAUUGAAGCCAGCUACUUUUCAUUCUUUGCAAGGAUCGUCUUUACUAGUGCUGAUGGCAGCAACUUGUUUACUGCUUCCAAGCUGAAAGAGAUGUGCCAUAUAGAAGACCACCAUAUUCGCACACAUUCCACUUUCACAUCAAACUGCCAGACAAAGACAAGUAAACAAUGUUGCCUAAGCUGGUCUCUGGGUAACUAUGUUGCUAUGUUAUCAGGCAAGACUAACUGUUCUUCCAUUACUGACCAGGAUGUGGGAAGAGUUGGGGAUUUGUUGAGACGUUGUGCUGGACACUACUACAAUAAGACUCUGAAUCCCUCCUGUGACACUGACCAAGGAUCCCGCUUUUAUUGCUCAGGUAUUCCCGAGGAGUGUGUAAAAUUCCAGGCAGUUUACAAUAUUCUUCACCAUAUAGCAGACGUGAACUUUAUCCAUCCAGACAAAGAUAACCAAAACCUGUUUUUAACGUAUGCUGUAAUGUACUUGCCCCUGGUGGGUGGAGUGGACUCUGUAAAGCUAUUUCAACACAUCGAAUCAUGGCCAAAAGAUUUUGGCAAUGAAGUCCGUGUCUUUGGUGCUAAUUUUGGAAUUAAAGAUACUUUAUUCAGUCAGCAUUUGAUUACAGAUAGUAUGUGGUUGCUAGUAUCUGGCAUUAUUAUAUUUUUAGUGAUAUGGUUGUAUAGUUUAUCUAUUUUCAUUACAAUUAUGACAUUCUUUAUGAUGUUUUGGUCUCUUGAGAUGGCCUAUAUUUUGUACAUGUUGGUCUUUCGUAUUGGUUUUUUCCCUUACAUGAAUCUCGUUGCUGUCAUCAUAAUUCUUGCCAUUGGAGCAGAUGACGUCUUUAUUUAUUGCAGGGUGUGGAGUCUAGCCAAGUCCGUGCGUAAUAAUGGUAACUUAGAAAAAAUAGUGUCGGACACUUUACGUAACGGAAGUAUAUCGAUGUUUGUGACUAGCCUGACCACGGCUGCAGCCCUGUAUUGUAAUGCGUUCAGCUCCAUCUCUUCCAUUAAAUGUUUCAGUAUCUACGCAGGAACUGCUGUUUUGUGUAACUUUGUUCUUGUUGUUACUUGGAUGCCGGCGUCCAUUGUUAUUUAUGAAAAAUGGUGCAACUGUGAAAAACUUUAUAAUCCCGAAUUAUCUUCAAGAAAAAAUGUGUGCUUUUAUAUUUGUAAACUACCACAGCAAGCAUAUCAUAAGUUCUCAGAGUGCAGCAGGAUCGUGUUUGAAAAACUGCUUCCAUUUCUUGUAAUUCGCGCUAGAUUUAUAUGGUUAGUGAUUUUUAGCUUGUUAGGAAUUCUCGGAAUAGUGGUUAUAUUUUUUUACCCCAAACUAAGACUUCCUACUUCAGAGAAAUUCCAAGUAUUUUCUUCAGAUCAUCUAAUGGAGAAAUAUGACUUCAUGUUGAAUGAUCAGUUUUGGUUCGAAAGACAACAACGAAGGCAAGAGCUGCUUCCUUUGCGGUUUGUGUGGGGGAUCAAAGCGACAGACACCGGGUCAUACCUUGACCCCACUGACAGAGGAGACAUCAUCUUUGAUGAGCAUUUUGAUCCUACGACCCAGGAAGCUCAAUUAUGGAUGCUCAAUUUUUGUCAAGAUUUACGUCAAACAGAUUUCUAUCGAAAUAUGGGUGGCUUUGAACAGACAAACUGUUUCUUCGAAUUCUUUAGUCUUUUUAUGCAGCAGCCAUGUUCUCCUGACUUUAAUAUUCAGAGACCCUGCUGUAAUUACAACACAAGUAUAAUAAAGUCACAAGACAUAAUGCAGUGUGUUCCCUUGUACAUUCCAUCCUUGAUAAACUCUCCAAAUGUAAUCUACAACUCUUUUACUCCUGGUCCAAGAUUUACCAAUGGCAGAUUCAGUGCCUUGAUCAUUGAGUUCUACAGCAACUUUCAUUUUACUACAUCCUUUCGUGAUAUGUCCAGUUUUUACAACAGGGUGGAGCAGUUCUUCACAGAGAAAUUAAAAUCAGCACCACCCGAGAUCAAACAUGGCUGGUUUGUAAGUGAACUGGACUUUUUCAGUCUGCAGAAAAGUCUUAGUAGCGAGACUCCUGUGGCUCUUGGCAUCUCUCUCUUCAUCGUGACUUUUGUCACUUUUCUGACAACUCUAAAUGUUCUGAUUACUGUUUUUUCCAUUGUAAGCAUCGCUUUUGUAAUGUUCGUCACCAUUGCGGCCCUGACGUUGUUGGGCUGGGAGUUGAACAUUCUUGAGUCUGUUGUAAUUACAGUAGCAGUUGGACUUUCCAUAGACCUGACAUUACACGUUGGAGUAUCUUUUCGAAACUCGCCUGAUCUCAGUAGCGAACUUCGCGUAGCAUCCACCACAAGUAAACUGGGGGGAGUCGUUACAAUGGCAGCUACAACCACAUUCCUAGCGGGGGCACUUAUGAUGCCGUCGACCAUUUUGGCGUACCAAAAAUUUGGCACCUUUUUGAUGAUCAUUAUUUCUACCAGCUGGGCCUACGCAGUGUUUUUCUUCCAGUCUCUAUUAUGUGUGUUAGGGCCUCAUGGAGGCUUUGGACAAUUCCACUGGCCCUCGACCAAAUUCUGCCAGAGAACCGACAGAAAACGUGUAGACAAGACGGUGUAUUUGACUGCUGAAUCUUCAUCUAGUUGUUACCCGCCGUCGAGUAGCUUCAGCGAGCCGUCACAAGACAUGGAAAUUCUUUCGAACACUCCGAAGGCUGCAUUGUUCCAGCAUCGACGGUCCCGCUCCCGUGGGCAUUAUAUGAAGGCGCGCACAAGAAGUGACAGUCCCGAUUCUGAUAAUUCAGAGAAGAAGGAGGUUCAGGUGAAAUUCUCAGAAAGCUGUGAAGUAACGAAUUCCGAGAUUAUAGAUGACAAAAGAACAUCACCGACUAAUGAUUCUGUGUUGAAGGAAUCGAAAGGGGGUAAUGAGGUAGAAGGUUGUAGCACGUCUUUCAAACCGAUUCCGAUCGAAAUUCAUUUCAAAGAAAGUUUGACAUGAUAUUCUCGUAAAAUAUGUGAUAUUUUCAUUAAAGUUUGUCUGGUUACAAAAAGCUGUACAUUCCUUUUACGUAUGUUUGUUUAAAUUUUAUGUUAUUUUCUUUUUCAAAGUGCAUUAUGUUAUUUGAAUGAUACUUUUGAAUACUAAUAUUAAAACAUUAAUUAUGAAUAUGAUAGACUUUUCAAAAGAACCCGUAUGGUCGAAAUAGCCGAUUUCAUUGUUGUAACAUUACUGAUGUGUUGACUUCUGGUUUUAUUUUUAUGUACUUUUUUUACUCCUCUGUAGAUCUGAUAUUAUUGCUGAAGUACUGACCUAGUAAUCGUGAUAAACCUUUGUAGUAUUUUUAUACACUGAGAAUCAUAGGUACUCUUAGUAGUAUUUUCAUUGAAUACCUGCAAGUAAUUCAAGUCUUUAGUUUCAUUGUGGAUACCGAGUCAGUAUAUGUUAUACAUGUAGAUACUUUCUCAUGUUAAAACUUGUCUAGCAUUAGUUAAGUGUAUUGAUUAUUGGCUUUACUAAUUCAUUUGUAGUUACUACAUGGUAAUGCUAACUUGUAUUUUAUUUUAUAACUCAAGACUACACAUGUUUAAAAAUUAUUUGUUAUUGUUUACUUUUUUAUAAAAUCAUUAUUAUUGUUUUGUUGUCCUAUCUUGCCGGGAUCUUUGUUUAGGGCCGUCAGACUGGUUCUGGUUAUUUACACAAUAUUUAAUUGUUCUUUUAUGAGAAACUGAAUAAAAAAUAAAGUUUCUACCUCAUAAAAUAUACAAACAAAGCCUCGUACACAAACACAAGAUACGCACAUGGAAGAAAAGUUCUGAAUACUCGGUUAGUGUUGAUUUGUCAUUGCAAAGAGCAGGUAUAAACCAUAUUAUAUAAAUUUCGAAUGUUUUCUUUACGGCAAAUUUUACUACGAUUAUUGGCUACUUCAAAGGAAAGCCGCGGACAUUAUUCUCCAAUAAAUCACGAACGUCAUCAAAAAAAAAGAUCAGAAACACGUAUAAAACCUGUGCAGUUGAAAUGUACAUUUGACUUAAGAAUGAAAUACGUAUUUAAACCACAUUGAUGUGUCGUCU